rnacentral:lncRNA from 1 species
AAAUCUCUUUUGAAGUUAUGAUUGAAGACUCUUUGAUGACCAGUUUGGCUGCACAGAUGAAGGAGCUUCAAGCAAGGAUGGAUGACUGCAAGGCAAGAAUGGUUGCUAAAAAGCGUAAUGCUUCUCAAGGAAUUGAUCGAACAAAGUCUUUGGUCGAGCAGUACAAGAAGCUGAAGGUUGAUGAUGAUUUUGUAGCUGAAUUGAAUGUCACUUCUUCUCAGCAGAGCGAGGAUUGGGGAAGACUUAGGGAAAGAAUUUGCUCGGUCUGGGGCGAAUUGUAAUUAAGACAUCUAAUGCCUUAACUUUUCUUUUUGUAACUUCGUAUUAACUUUCCUCUUGUAACCUCGUACUGAUAG